AAACCAGCACCUCAAGUGGUCAGGAGGAUUAUUGGGCCUAAAGCAUCCGUAGCCUGUUCUAUAAGUUUCCAGUUAAAUCCACUAGCUCAACUAGUGGGCUGCCGAAAAUACUGUAGAACUAGGGGGUGAGAGAGGUAGACGGUAUUCGGUAGGAAGGGGUAAAAUCCUUUGAUCUAUUGAGGACCACCUGUGGCGAAGGCGGUCUACCAGAACACGUUCGACGGUGAGGGAUGAAAGCUGGGGGAGCAAACCGGAUUAGAAACCCCUGUAGUCC
rnacentral:rRNA from 1 species